rnacentral:rRNA from 1 species
AUGAUGGCUGCAAGGAGGUGCCAUGUGUAUCACGUCCGGUUGACCAGCGGCUAUAACUGGAACAUCGCACUGGAGAGGCUAAUGGAGUCCAUCCGGGUGCCGUGCGCCAACGCCGCCCACUGGUGCACCGCCACGUCGGCCUACUACAACCACCCCCCUCCACCACCACCUCAAGGCGUCCCCUCAGGAUGUCGUGCUACUGCCCGCAGGCGGACUGCGGUUUCGCUUGCUCCACGGCGGCGCUCCUGGACCACUUCGCCGAUGUGCACGGGUGGUCGUGCACGAUUGAGCUUCGGGCCUGGGUGUGCGUCGAGGUCCAGCUCUGUGACGGCUUCAAAGCCUUCUCGACCCGUGCCAAAGGCCGGUAGUACCUGUUCCUGCUGA